AGGUUAAAGCAGUGCAGAGGUCCAAGAAGACAGAGACUGAUGACGAGACCUGCAGGUGUAUCAUCUCGGACAGAGAGUGGGUCUCCGAGCUGCAUGAAGACCUGGAGGAGUUUCUGUGCAGGGCACAGCAGAGUGGACAGUAACUAUGGCAACCUGAUGCCUGCCUUCUCAAGUUCUGUUAACUGAGCCAUCUAAGGCCUAGCUGAAGAAAUGUUGUGUUUCUGGGAGCUGUGUUAAAAAAAAUGAUGACCAGUAAUGGUAGAUAGGGAUUUUUUAAAGAGUUUUCUACCAAAAUAAUCCCACAAAUGCAGUGUACCAAUGUAUAAGUGAAACUUACAUUUGGCACUAAUAUUUUCAGCAUUGUAUUGUAGUCAUACAGAUAUAGAUUUUACAAGUAUAUGAACAAGCUGUUGAACAAAGAAGUACAAUGUUAACUGUACAUUCUUAGAUUAGCUGUUCAAAACCCUAUAGACAGAGUAGGGCUUACAAAAAGUCUGUCUUCAAGUCUGCAACUCAGAUGUUGGAUCGAACAUCUUAUCUCCUUGGCCAGUUAAAAGUUAAAGUUGCGUGUGCAACUGGGCAGAUGCUUAGGGAUGGCGCUCAUCUCCAUUUCUGUAGCCCUUGGGCCACACAUGUGCAAGCCACUACAGCAGGGGGCUGGUCCGCUGGUAAUGAUGUGUGUUUAACUUCCAUACUCUUUCUCAUUAGUGCUGAAUGCUAAGCAGAGAAAGCAGCAUGUACCAUUUUUAAAGUCUUUGGUAUGACUCGGCCGGGGAUCGAACUCACAACCUACCGAUUGCAAGGCAAACAUUCUACCCACUCGGCAAUUGCACUCGGCCAGUUGCCAAUCAAAAUUUUUUUAAAGGCUAUGAUUGACAGGUUUUUGCUAGUAAUUUUAAUCCCAAUCGCAACAUUUUUUUCUAGGCCUAACUAAGAACCAACAGCCUACAAGGCUCUAAGAUGGCAUUUUCGGUAACAAGAAGGCCGAUUCUUCUGUGACAUACGCUUUGAGUAUCUCAAGAAUAUGCUCAGUUCGCAACCAUAUGACAAUCAUACGAUGCAUGUGACCAAUCCCUUAAUGAAGGGAAGAGGACCAAGAAGAUGAUGUUUCAACGUCUGCUUUUAGAGAUGUCUUUUUUAAUACUCCAAAAGUUUAAAUGUAGUUUUAGGCUAUAGUUUUGUCCAGUGUUUGUUAGACGUAUUUAUAGUAGUAUUGUUCUCUUGUUGUUGUUUUUUUACUUCUACAUGUUUUUUGGGUCACCUAUAGGUGUUGCAAUAUGUUAAAACGGGUACCAAACAGAAGACUCUUUUGUUUUAAGAGUAGUUUAAUAGCUUCAAAAGUUUUAGAUACUGGUUUUGUUCAAUGUUCUGUAAUACUAUAUUAGUAUUGUUCUAUUGUUUGUUUGUUACUGUUGCAUUGUUUUAUAUUGCCAAAGUGUGGCAAUGUAUAAAAAAUGUUAAAGUUCCAGUUUGGCAAAAGCUAUUGUUGAAAAGCGGCAUCUAGUGAUGAGCCAUAUUACUGCAGCAACUGCACUCGUAAUCAUGCAGUUUUGAAAACGACCUCCAGGGGGCUUUUUUAAAAUGCCAUGUGGUAACUUUUAGUCAGUUUUUGGCUGCGGUAACUUGAUAUCUUUCUCAAUCCUGAUUGGUCAGAAAUUGUUACCAAAUAAGGAAUAUGUCUGGAACAUAACCUUUUAUGAGUGACCUUCACCUCAAUACCAACAAUACAUGACUCAGCCCAUCUAGCCCGA